UACGGAGGGAGCUAGCGUUAUUCGGAAUUACUGGGCGUAAAGCGCACGUAGGCGGCUUUGUAAGUUAGAGGUGAAAGCCCGGAGCUCAAACUCCGGAACUGCCCAUUGAAACUGUUGGACUUGAGUACGAGAGAGGUGAGUGGAAUUCCCAGUGUAGAGGUGAAAUUCGUAGAUAUUGGGAAGAACACCGGUGGCGAAGGCGGCUCACUGGCUCGUAACUGACGCUCAGGCGGCGACAGCGUGGGGAUCAAACAGG
rnacentral:rRNA from 1 species